rnacentral:rRNA from 1 species
AGAGUUUGAUCCUGGCUCAGAUUGAACGCUGGCGGCAGGCCUAACACAUGCAAGUCGAGCGGAAACGACACUAACAAUCCUUCGGGUGCGUUAAUGGGCGUCGAGCGGCGGACGGGUGAGUAAUGCCUAGGAAAUUGCCUUGAUGUGGGGGAUAACCAUUGGAAACGAUGGCUAAUACCGCAUAAUGCCUACGGGCCAAAGAGGGGGACCUUCGGGCCUCUCGCGUCAAGAUAUGCCUAGGUGGGAUUAGCUAGUUGGUGAGGUAAUGGCUCACCAAGGCGACGAUCCCUAGCUGGUCUGAGAGGAUGAUCAGCCACACUGGAACUGAGACACGGUCCAGACUCCUACGGGAGGCAGCAGUGGGGAAUAUUGCACAAUGGGCGAAAGCCUGAUGCAGCCAUGCCGCGUGUAUGAAGAAGGCCUUCGGGUUGUAAAGUACUUUCAGUUGUGAGGAAGGGGGUAGUGUUAAUAGCGCUAUCUCUUGACGUUAGCAACAGAAGAAGCACCGGCUAACUCCGUGCCAGCAGCCGCGGUAAUAC